rnacentral:rRNA from 1 species
CAAGGAAUUUUCCCCAAUGGGCUCACGCCUGAGGGAGCAACGCCGCGUGGGGGAGGACGCCCUUCGGGGUGUAAACCCCUUUUCUCGGGGAUGAAGCACUGACAGUACCCGAGGAAGAAGGCCCGGCUAACUACGUGCCAGCAGCCGCGGUAAUACGUAGGGGCCGAGCGUUGUCCGGAGUUACUGGGCGUAAAGCGCGCGCAGGCGGUCACUUGCGCCUACCGUGAAAGCCCCCGGCUCAACCGGGGAGGGUCGGUGGGGACGGGGUGACUUGAGGACGGCAGGGGCUGGUGGAAUCCCCGGUGUAGUGGUGAAAUGCGUAGAGAUCGGGGGGAACACCCGUGGCGAAGGCGGCCAGCUGGGCCGGUCCUGACGCUGAGGCGCGAAGGCGUGGGGAGCGAACGG